UAGCAAUAGGGAUGGAAAUGGAUACCGGCCUAUGUGGCUAAGGCCUGUGCAGUAUGAAUGUACAGCCCGGGCCGCA
rnacentral:misc_RNA from 1 species